CAGAAAUGGUCCCCGAGGAGAGAGAUGGUAACAGAGAGAAAACCAAGAGUCACUUACCUAGUACUUGAUGUCUUUUCCUGAAUCCGGGUCACGGCACCAAAAGAAGAGUCCCUUACGUGUAACACAACACGCUUCGCUGAUUCAGGAAGGUUGAGGAGGCUGUUCCUGAUAUUGCUAGCCCAC